GCCAGCUCCUCAUCCACCUUUGCCCGCUUCUUGCAGACUCGCUCCCACGACCCCCAAGUUCUCCCCAAACUCCGCCUGGUGCAUCGUUGCCUCGGAUUCCGGACACCCUCGGUCGCGCUCAAGAACCGAGGAAGUUCGAAGUGGGCCCGAGCCGUCUGCGAGGCGGCCACAGGGAAGCGCUUUUAGGAGGUGGGGUAGACUUGCUCUCUUCUCGGGUUUCUGCGUCGAAGAUGAAGACCCUAACCUCGCCCUGCUACUUCUUGCUUUGGCUGUGCCUCUGUUUGAGAAACACUGGCGGGACCGGGACCAGAUGGCUUGGAGACUUCAGACGCAAGGAGGUUGGCGAGGAGGAGCCUGCGCCGCCCGCACCUGCCACCUGCUCAGCAGGAGGGAGCAGCUCGGGAGGAGGCUUUCGUCUGGACUUAAUUUGCCCUCAUCCUUGCUAAAUCUGCCUCGGAGUCUUCGGGAUCCCGAAGGGGGAGCUUUGCGCCUCCUCACGCAGAAUGAGGGGCAACAGUUCGAUCAGGCCCAAGGGGUCGGCCCAGCAGCCCAGGCCUGUCUCCAGUUGAGCGGAGGGCUGCGCAUUUCCUGGCUGCCCACGCAAAGCCUAAGGAUGUGUUUGCGCAAGCGCCGUGGGGGAACACGGGGCACCGCCUGGCUUAUCCAGGUGUCCUCGCGGGCCCGGAAGUCUUUGGGAUGCAACGGACUGUUUGGUCUUCCUCGUGCCCUAGCUUUUGCUUUCCUAGCUCCUCAGUCCUGUCUGGUGAGCAAGCUCAAGGUGGCUUAGAGACCAGUGAGCUUUGGGGAGACGCGGACUCUCUCUUGCAGAAGCAGCGCAGGCCGCUGUCGCCGCCCUGAUGUGUCACAGCCAGAGCUGUCUAUCCGCCUCCGCCGAGGGUGCAGCAGCCUGCUUUACAGCGCUCCCGUAUGACUUUAGGCACAGGGACCACACCCUGAGGUUUAGUUUUAAAAGACUGAGGGAUAAUAAUUCAGAACUUGUUGUGUUUGUGGUCCGAGGAAAUAGGUUCGCCUGUGAAGGCAACUUCCAUUAUGUGUCCCCCAAAUCUAGUGCUUCAGUUUUUUCUUUCUCCCAGUUAAGAGAAAAGGCAAAGUCAAACGUGGCACAUUCAGCACUCUCACGAAACUCCCCAGACAAGUCUUGGGGAGACAGUCAUAGCCGUAUGCACAGCCCUGCAGCUAUUCUGUGUAGGAAGGAGUCCUCGGGAGAAUUCGGUUCUCAGCAGCUCCAGGGAGAUGAGAAGCUGAGGGCUGGUGGUGAUUGCCACACUGUAAGGCACAGACUGAGGUUCUAAACACAAAUGUCCCAACCAGUCUAACAAAAAUCCACACCUUUGAGAAGAGGUAGGGAGAAAGACUGCUGUAGCAGCAUAGAGAUGUUAAAUGGCAGUCCCCAGGAGCCCGAGGUCAGGAGGUGAAGAAGUUGUGCCAGAGAAAUAGUGUGUAGUUCUUUGGUAGUUUAAUAUUGGUCUUGGAUGGGAGAAUUAUAUUUUAAAACUGUCUUUUUAUUUUGAGGGCAGAAAUCCAGUUAUUUGUACUUAGCUCAAUUGUGCAUAUACAACAAUUAUUCAAUGACAUACUUUUUAAGUUUUAAAUAACGUUUAAUGUGUUAUUAUAACUAUGUUUUAUUUUAGUUAUUGUUGCUAGUCUCUUAUUUGUAUGUGACAUGUUAUUGGGGGUAUGCAUGGGAAGAAGCAUAGCAUACACAGGGCUGGGUACUACCUGUUGUGUCAGCAUCCACUGGGGUCUAGGAUUGUAUCCCCCAGGACAAAUGUGACUUUACCUAGGAUAAAAUAUCCCCCUGCUGCUGCCUGCAUCCCCCCAAAGGCUUUGUGUCCUUCUCUUGGGUCCUGGGAGGGGAGAUGGUGCUGUAGAAGGAAUUUUCAUCCUGCUGGCUCCACACUGGGUGUUGGUCUGAGGCUGUCCCAAUGGCCCAGUUAGUUCCCUCAAGCAGCCCUGGAAAGCAGGAAUCAUUUUUUCUACUUCCUGUAGGGAGAAGGCAAGUCUCACAGAGACUAAGCUAUGUCCAGAGCUCACGUGGCAGAGCCUCGGACAGGAGAGUUUGGUGAGGCAUGCUCCUCCGGGGGCUGUAAGACAGUGUUUCCUUUCAUGUGGUGUUGUGGUGAAGUUUUAUCUGUUCUUUUAAAAAAAAUUAUUAGCAUAUGUUUGCAAUACAUAGUAAAUACAUCCAUCAUGGGUAUUGGUGACAUUUUAGAGGAGUCAAUGAUGGGUGUAUUAGUUAGGAUAGAUAAAGGUUAAGUUGCUGUAACAAGAGACCCCAAAAUGCAGUGGCUUAAAAAUAUGCACAUUUAUCUUCUUCAUGCAGCAGUCCAAGUGAGCAACUGAAGUUGGCAGGAAGCUCUGCUGCAUGAUGCUACUCAUGGGUCCAUUCUUUUCCUUGCUCUCCUGUGUCCUUCAGGGAACCAUUACUAAGCCAUUGUCCUAUCUGGCACAAUUGAAACUGGAUUAUGGGGACAUGAGUAUCAUGAGCCCCAAUUUUAUAAAGAGCAAGUGGAGCAAAAGUUUACCUAUCACUUGGACUGACUGCUUUCAGUGAGAAUAGACUCUUACAGUCUCAGAGAAGGCUUGGAAAUGUUUCUGGUAAGCUCCAACUAUAUCACCAUAUUUGAAGGUAAGGAAGAUAGGUAUUUUCCCCUUUCCCUUCCUUUUGUUUCCUUUCUCUUCCAUUUCUUUUCCUUCCCUUUCAUUUCCUCUUCCUCCUCUUUCUCUCUCUCUCUUCCUCUCUCUCUCUCUCUCUCUCUCUGUUUCUUUCUUCACCAGGGUAUAGAAAUAAACCAGGUUCAUUAAAAUGUUGUAAAAUAUAAAUCCAUGUUAUAAUUCAACUUGUCCUGUGCCCACCUUUAUCUAAGUGGUCUGUAUUUAAUUUGGCACAUUCUAAAUGUUCAUGGGCAAAUACAAUGUUUAAAAGGAAGUCCUACGAGUUCCAUCCCCGGUACCAAACAAAAAGGUAGUCCUAAAAAUAAGUCAUUUCAAGGAACAUUUGGUAAGUCUUUAAUAAAUUAAAAUGAAGGGUUUGCAAUAAAGUGAUGUUAUCAUACCUUCACUUCGAAGUGAAAAUUUUAGAUAUUAAUUACACAUUGUAUUUUAAAUUCUGAUUUAGAUUUAGAUCUCUAAAGAACCAGUUACAUCCAGAUUACCUCUAGUCCUUUCAAUUUGCUGCUGGGCAGUUUCCUGGGACAAGAUAGAGUUUGAGCUCUGUGUUGGUUACAUAUUGCUGUGUAACAAAUCACCCCACAAAGACAAUCAGAGCACACCAUUUAUUAUCUUGCCAUUUCCAUGGGUCAGGAAUCCAAGGGCAUUUUAGCUGGGUCCUCUGGCCCUGGGUUUCUCACAAGAUUGCAACACAUGUCUUUGCUGAGGCUGCCACCCUCAGAAGGCUCACUGGAGGUGAAACAACUCCAGUAAUCAUUCUUGUGGGAGGGAAUCAAACCCAGGGCCUUGUACACGUGAGGCAAGUAUCCUAUCCCUGAGCUGCAUCCCCAGCCUGAGAUUUGCUUUAGUAAUACAAAUAUAAAUAUUAUAAAAUCCACCAAUAUUACCCAUCAUGUUAAUAGAGCUAAGGAUAAGUUUGGUUGGAGUGGAGAGUUUCUAUAUUUGAGCAAUGGAAGAUGGUGUGGGGAAGAUACAUCUGUCUUCGCAGGAGUGGGUUUAUAGUGUAGUGCAUGUUUGAGGCGAUGAGAAAUCAUUGAAAAGCAAAUGAAAGACACAAAGAAAGCUAUGUUUCCAGAAAAUUAAUCAGAAGUUUUCUAUUGGAUGAAUGAUAUAUGGAAACCAAGAAAAAUCUGGAAAUGUGGGUUAAUUUCAAGACCAAUAAAUCCAAUUUUAAAAUUA